rnacentral:rRNA from 1 species
UGGGGAAUAUUGGACAAUGGGCGAAAGCCUGAUCCAGCCAUGCCGCGUGAGUGACGAAGGCCUUAGGGUUGUAAAACUCUUUUGUCGGGGACGAUAAUGACGGUACCCGAAGAAGAAGCUCCGGCUAACUUCGUGCCAGCAGCCGCGGUAAUACGAAGGGAGCUAGCGUUGUUCGGAAUCACUGGGCGUAAAGCGCACGUAGGCGGAUAGUUAAGUCAGGGGUGAAAUCCUGGGGCUCAACCCCAGAACUGCCUUUGAUACUGGCUGUCUCGAGGUCGAGAGAGGUUGGUGGAAUUCCUAGUGUAGAGGUGAAAUUCGUAGAUAUUAGGAAGAACACCAGUGGCGAAGGCGGCCAACUGGCUCGAUACUGACGCUGAGGUGCGAAAGCGUGGGGAGCAAACAGGAUUAGAUACCCCCGUAGUCCCUGAGCGGGCUGGCAAGGCGCAU